rnacentral:lncRNA from 10 species
GAGUCCAAGGAUUGGAACCAGGGCCACGACAGGAGGAAAUAUGGAACUUGGAAAGCAGCAGAAAUGCUAGGCAGAGACUCUGAAAUGGCCAAGAAAAGACAGACAGAGCUGGAGGCAGUCACAUUCCAGGAAGGCCUGGCAGAAAGUGGAAGCAGGAAGAUGAGGCUGCAGAGGCCCUUAUCCCGGCAGGCCUGGAUGUGGGCUCUGCUGGAUUGGCCCUGCGUUCAAAGAGCUACGGAACUGACACCAGAGAGAAGAGAAGAAAAACCCGGAGGAGUGGAGGGAGAGCCAGGGGCUCCUGGCAUUGGAGGGCUGAUGAGCAAAGCUCCAGAUCAGCUUUAGCUUCUUUCUGCUCCCCAAGCUCCAAAGGGGUCUGAGCUCCUUGAGCUGCGCAGGUUUUAAAAUGUUCGAGGGCUCCUCACAGAUCUGUAGCUCAGAGUUCACUGCCCCCAUUUUUAAUUAUCAAGAGGCAGCUAAAACUCCAACACCCGGAGCAGCCACACGCUGCAGGAGAAAAAUCAAAAUGGGGCUGGCAAUGCAGGGUGCAGAAAAAGCAGGCUGAGAAGGGUGGUCAGCUCUAUCAAAAACAUUGACCAGAAAGAACAGAAGGAGACACAUGCAGAAUGACCAUGUAUGUGAGGGAAGAGGAAGGAGAAGAAACAGAAGACAUAAAGAAGGGGAAAUAAAAUAAGUGUUCUGACCCUUUUAUGCUGCUUUUCCUGAACUAGAGUGUCCCUUCUGCAAUUUCAGGGAGAAACUUAGGAAAUAAAAUGUAGUAAUUUUCCCCCUCCUCACUCUCAUCUCUUCCACUUUCAGGAGGAGAGGGAUAAACUCCCUGAAAGCCACGCGAGCAAACUUAGGAAAGAACCAUGGAUCUCAAUUUACCCCUUCCCUGCUUUCCAUCUUAGCUCCUUUACAGGCUUGAAAAGACACCCUGGUGCCCUUAGACCUUCCUUCCCUUUUCCUAAGCACAGCUAGAACCCCCUUUUUCUGUUCCAAGGGCAAUCGCCUCAAGACGAUAGGGGCUACAGUCAGAUUUGGCCCCUAAUUCACUUGAUUACAUAAAAAACUCCAGAUAAUUGUUGGCCUGCCUCCUCAUACUGUAGGCAGCAUGUUUUGUUGUCUCCAGGGUACCACUGAGGGAGGAAAAGUAGACCUAAAGGACUAAGAGACUCCCCCCAACACACACACGUGUGAGGGCAUGCAUACACACACACAC